AUUGAACGCUGGCGGCAGGCUUAACACAUGCAAGUCGAGCGGGGUGAUGGUGCUUGCACUAUCACUUAGCGGCGGACGGGUGAGUAAUGCUUAGGAAUCUGCCUAUUAGUGGGGGACAACAUCUCGAAAGGGAUGCUAAUACCGCAUACGUCCUACGGGAGAAAGCAGGGGAUCACUUGUGACCUUGCGCUAAUAGAUGAGCCUAAGUCGGAUUAGCUAGUUGGGGGGGUAAAGGCCUACCAAGGCGACGAUCUGUAGCGGGUCUGAGAGGAUGAUCCGCCACGCUGGGACUGAGACACGGCCCAGACUCCUACGGGAGGCAGCAGUGGGGAAUAUUGGACAAUGGGGGGAACCCUGAUCCAGCCAUGCCGCGUGUGUGAAGAAGGCCUUAUGGUUGUAAAGCACUUUAAGCGAGGAGGGGGCUCUUUUGGUUAAUACCCAAGAUGAGUGGACGUUACUCGCAGAAUAAGCACCGGCUAACUCUGUGCCAGCCGCCGCCGUAA
rnacentral:rRNA from 1 species